rnacentral:tRNA from 1 species
UCCCAUGGCUCAGAGGUUAAAGUGCCUGCCUGCAAUGCGGGAGACUAGGGUUCGAUCCCUGGGUUGGGAA